AAUUGAUUGGUGCUUGCAUCAUGAUUUACAUUUGAGUGAGUGGCGAACUGGUGAGUAACACGUGGGAAACCUGCCCAGAAGCGGGGGAUAACACCUGGAAACAGAUGCUAAUACCGCAUAACAACUUGGACCGCAUGGUCCGAGCUUGAAAGAUGGCUUCGGCUAUCACUUUUGGAUGGUCCCGCGGCGUAUUAGCUAGAUGGUGGGGUAACGGCUCACCAUGGGAAUGAUACGUA
rnacentral:rRNA from 1 species